GAUGAACGCUGGCGGCGUGCUUAACACAUGCAAGUCGAACGGAAAGGCCUCUGCUUGCAGGGGUACUCGAGUGGCGAACGGGUGAGUAACACGUGGGUGAUCUGCCCUGCACUUCGGGAUAAGCCUGGGAAACUGGGUCUAAUACCGGAUAGGACAAUGGUUUGGAUGCUGUUGUGGAAAGUUUUUCGGUGUGGGAUGAGCUCGCGGCCUAUCAGCUUGUUGGUGGGGUAAUGGCCUACCAAGGCGUCGACGGGUAGCCGGCCUGAGAGGGUGUACGGCCACAUUGGGACUGAGAUACGGCGCAGACUCCUACGGGGGGCAGCAGUGGGGAAUAUUGCACAAUGGGCGCAAGCCUGAUGCAGAGAAGCGGCGUGGGGGAUGACGGCCUUCGGGUUGUAAACUCCUUUCGCUAGGGACGAAGCGUUUUUGUGACGGUACCUGGAGAAGAAGCACCGGCUAACUACGUG
rnacentral:rRNA from 1 species